rnacentral:lncRNA from 1 species
GGACUCAGGCAGGGGCGCCUCAUCCCGCACACGCGGCCCUCAGCCCUGGGACGAGGAGCACGCUGCUUCCCGGACACUUUGAAGAACUCUGAGCAUUGGUGACAAGGCCGGGGUUUUACCAGCUUUCAUCAGGCUCUCCUGAAUGUGAGGUGGAGGGUCUCACUAUGUCACCCAGGCCGGUCCUGACUCCUGACCUCAAGUGAUCCUUUUGCCUUGGCCUUUCAAAGUUCUGGGGUUACAGGUGUGAGCCCCCGCACCCGGCCGGCUUUCUCUCUUCACCCAGGAAGAAGUGCUAUGGAGGAGCAGGCCUCUGAGAUGCCACAUAGAACCAAGAGGGCCCCUCACUCCAGUGCCAUCGCCGUCCGAGACGUCAGCGACACAGCAGUGAACACCUGACAUGGAGGCAGCCCCUGCUGUAGCAGGCUCCGGUUUACGUCAUUGCAAGAGGAAAUGCAAAUCACUAGAUGACCUACUCUACACAAUAAAGAUGGCAGAUACACAACCAGUGGUUGUGAAAGGUGACAGUCAUUCCAGGUGCUCAUAAAAGACAUUUACGUGGAGACAUUGUUCCUCGUGACUGCAAGAGUAUUUGGUUUCGAACAACUGAUUAUCUUUUAAAUAGAUUCCCUUUGUCUGUUCCUGAUUCUUUUAUCUCGA